rnacentral:rRNA from 1 species
GACGAACGCUGGCGGCGUGCUUAACACAUGCAAGUCGAACGGAAAGGCCCUGCUUUUGUGGGGUGCUCGAGUGGCGAACGGGUGAGUAACACGUGAGUAACCUGCCCUUGACUUUGGGAUAACUUCAGGAAACUGGGGCUAAUACCGGAUAGGAGCUCCUGCUGCAUGGUGGGGGUUGGAAAGUUUCGGCGGUUGGGGAUGGACUCGCGGCUUAUCAGCUUGUUGGUGGGGUAGUGGCUUACCAAGGCUUUGACGGGUAGCCGGCCUGAGAGGGUGACCGGCCAAAUUGGGACUGAACUACGGCCCAGACUGCUACGGUAGGCAGCAGUGGGGAAUAUUGAACAAUGGGCGGAAGCCUGAUGCAGCAACGCGGCGUGCGGGAUGACGGCCUUCGGGUUGUAAACCGCUUUCGCCUGUGACGAAGCGUGAGUGACGGUAAUGGGUAGAGGAGGACCGGCUAACUACGUG